AUCCUCUCAGGAUCGCACCUGGAGAUAUUCCAGUACUCUACUAGUCUCGGCUAUGGGAGGGAGAGUCAAGCAGAGGCAUACCCAUUCCAUUCCUAUCUUGGGCAGUGGUUAGUGAAUGGAAGGCAAUCUGCUACAAGU